CCUACGCUAUCCAGCACACAGUCCUUGGCAUGCACUCCUGCCACAGACAAGCUUCACUCACCAACAUUUAUGACUGGAGGGGGAGUGUCCAGCACGCCUACGGAAUGCACCCCUGCCCCAAACGGUGGGCCUCAAGUGACAACAUUCACGAUUGUGGGG